AUUUAAGCAGCUGUUUGUUAUUUCUAUACUCGAACUUGAUAAGCCAGUAAGGGAGAAGGGAACCAGAGAAACACGCAAAUGGUGUCUUCAGGAUUAUGCUUCUCAAUCUUGGAAUAUGUCUUGCAGAUCACUUUUUUCAGGUCGCGUUGCAUCAAAUCUCUGAAUAUGUUUCACAACUGGCCUUCUUGAUACCUGUUUGUGACAGCAACAUUCUUCCAUGCUAGCUGGUGAGGUCUUCAUGCUGUUGAAAGGGAAACUUGUUGAAGAAGAGGGGAAUUUUACAUUGUGGCUUUCCUAUAUUCUGACAGUUGUUGGAGCAAACCUUGUUUCACAGUUAGUUUUACUGAGAAAUGCAGUUUCUGUAUGAGCUUCUUGUGCUGUUUUUGGAUUAUUUGUGAUCAGUGUCCUUGUAAAGGUAACUAAUGUUUUGAAUGCACAUGUCUAUUUGAAAUUAAAAUGCAUCAUGCAUGAACUUUCUAACCUCCUUUUCUUUAUUGUAGAUAACAUGGAACUUGAAAAAGAUCCUUGAAGUGCUUAUAUUAGGCCAGUUUGUUAGAGAUGGUGAGCACUUCCGGUACCUUUACAAAUUAGAAUUUCCAUAUGAAUUACAAAUUAUAAGAAACAAGCAAGUCCCAGGGAGUUGACAAAGUGUAUGCUGACAAUUGUUCUUCCCACGAAAGAUGGAUGCGAGGGGAAGUAAAAUGUAUGCAUUGUUCAAUCUGAGCUUUAUUACAAGUGCUGAUAGCUCCUUUGAGAAGACAUGAAGUUGAGCCUUUGGCCAUGGUUGAUGUUCCUAAAACUAAAACAGUCAUUUAAUUAAACUGAUUAUCACCAUUGACUAUCAAACUGACUUCAAACGCAUGCAUUCUUAUGUUUGUUUGGUGGAGAUUUAACUUAAACAUCUUAUGUUACAAGUAAUGAAGGCAACCCAAUCUUCAGCAACAUUUUUAGGCACUUUUCAUGGAGGCUACCCUAUUCAGAGUGUCAAUCAUAUUGCACAUCUAUCUGGUGCUCUUACUGUUGUGGUUUUGGUAUGGCAUAUCAGCAGAAUUCCCUCCUCAGACCAUGAAGCAUCAACAUUUCAUGGAAAAUAAAGCAAAGGUCGAUAAGAAACUUCCAAGAUGUGUAUCCCAUAAAUGUGUAUAAACAGAAGGAUUUCAUUACAUAAUUCCUUUCUUAUGAUGAUUUAUAUUUGUUGGAGAUUUGUGAAUUUCAUGGAUAUUUUGCUAUGUAUGCAUUUGCUAGUGAUGCAUCAGAGUCUGAUUUAAUUAUAAGCCAUAGUCAUGGCCGAGGUAUUCAUGUUGAUAUGAAAUGUAAAUGUUAUGAGGUUAUAAACCAUUUAGCUAUGCAA